UCCCAGCAGGCCCUUUCCUGAUCUUCCGCAGGCCUAGCAGGACGUACCUGGAAGCUGAAGAGGAAAAGCCGGCCCCUUCACCUCUCGACCCACGAGAAGCAGACCUAUGUGUCCCAGCUCUGGUGGCACCUGAGUCCCCCUCUAGCUCACCUCGUGGAAGUGGGGUGUCCUCUUCAGCAGAUCUUCAGAAAAGUGGCCUGCUGGGACGUCUGCCUGGAAGGAAUCUGAAGGACUGGGUCUCCACCAGCAUGCGGAAGCCCCGUGGGGGGAAAGAGAGGGGCCUUGGGCAGGAAACUGGGUAGGAACUGUAGGAAUGAAAAAUUUCAGGGGGCUGCUGCGGGCAGGCACUGUGUAGGAAUGAAAAAUUUCAGGCCCUAGAGUGACCAUGGAACUAAAGUCGUUUUUCAAGGAGAAGUUGUUUGAAUCCCAGGAUGUGGUUUAAGAUAAGCUGAAAUGCUUCCCUCCCUAAGGUGUGCAAACAUCGUAAAACUUGUAGUGGACUCUGCUAAUUCUGUUGUUUUGCUUAUCUGACAUUGCUAAAUGUAUGUCGUAAAACUUGUAAUGGACUCUGCUGACUCUGCUGUUUUGCUUAUCUGACAUUGCUAGAUGUAUGUUGUAAAAUUUAUAAUGGAAAGAUACCUGUGAAGGAAGAAAAAAAAAAAAAGGAAAACCCUAUAAGAAUCCCGUUUUAAUCUUCUUCGGGGCUCUUCUCCUCUACCCCUGAGUGGGAUAAGAGUUGAGCCCCAAUGCGUUGGUCCUUGAAUAAAGCCUCAUGUGUUUUGCAUCAA